AUCAAGAUAUGACCAAUCAGGUCAUCCUCUUCCCUUGACUACAGUGAUUGGCUCAGGGUUGCACAGGGGACUCGAACUGGUGCAGAUGGAGUCAACCCCAGGACAUUGGCGUGAGUGUUGGGAAAGAUGUGUCCUCCUUCUGCUUGGGUGACCGCAAUGGGAGGCCUUCCCUGCCACCUCCAGGAAAACAUCAGGCCGGAGUGAAGCUCACAGAGAGGCAAGCGUUUCACGCCCCGAUGCCUGGAAUCUUGCUUGGCACAGAGUGGGAGCUCAAUGAAUACGUACUGAAUGGAUGACCUCACUGGAGUCCUGAGCAGACGGAAAGCGCCACAUCAGGAGGUGGGAGCCCCAGACAAUCCUGGGAUGAUUCCAUUUUACAGAUGAGGAAACCCGGACAGCAGAGGGGCUCGUGUUCCUCCCAAGGUUGCUCAGCUCUGAAGAUCAAACCUCCCCUUGACCCCAGCUGUGUGCACACCCACAGCCCCAAAGCCCAGGCUUUGCACCAGCUUUUGGCACAGUCGAAAUAGAUAAAUUAUCCCCAAACAGCCUCCUAAGCUCUAGAAAGAGAAGCUAAGCCAGUGUGAAUAAACCUUGUAAUAUUUAUUCUA
rnacentral:lncRNA from 10 species